rnacentral:lncRNA from 1 species
CAAUUUUGUGAGAUUCUGUAAUUGUAGUGGCAGUGUUUCUCCAGUGAAAGAGAAGAUUGAAAAAAAUGUAGAACCUGCUAGAGCAGUUUGUAAUUGAUGUUGUAGGAAACAGCAUAGAAAUUAAAUAAGGGUUGCUGAAAAGUGCAGUUAAGUACUCAACUGAUACUGAAGUAAGUGGACACCGUUUAGUGAAUUUCACAGCAAUGCCUGGCAAAGAGGGAGCAGGAGCUUAGAUGGUGUGUGGUAUCACUUACUUAGGGUUGAAGAAAAUGUGAAACCCAGAGAAUGUAAAAAUUGUUAUGUUAAAACAAACUAUUUGAAUUUAUAUUUCAUUUUGAUUUUUAAUCUCUGACAGGCAAGAAUAAAAGUUUACAAGACUUAACCUCUGCAACCUGGCCACCCAGAGAAGGCAUUGGCGCCCUACAAAGUUCUGUGGAAACCAGCUAUCAUCCAAUGCUUUAGGCAACCAAUUCUGGUCAGUGACAAGGCUGGGACCCCAGCCCCACAUUGUGCCAGGGAAGGAGUUGGUGCUUUAUCAGCUGUGAAGGUUGAUAGUGUGCUUUCUAUAUAAUGAAGUUUCCGUUACAAAGCUUGGAUUCCAACUUCAGCACCCCACCAUUGAAGACUUCAAACAGCAAGUGGAUAUAGUCAAGUUGAAGAUUUCUCUCUGAAAUUGUUUAAGUAGCAAGAAAACUGGCCGUCUAAAUCACAAAAUCAGCAAAACAAAAAGUGUCAUUGAAAUAGCCCAAUGAUUGAAUUGUUACUGCUUACUGGAGCUGGGAGUACAGUUUGGAAAGACACUUCUAUAAAAGACGAAGUUGGUUGUACUUCCCAUGAAACCAUUACUUGAAGACACAUGUUUGCAUAAUAGCAAUGAGACAAAAAUUUUCAUAUCUAAUGCCCUUGUCUUCAAAUUUUUCAUCUUCUGGUAAGUGAAAAUACAUUGUACUAUUUAAAGUACUGUGUCCAUCUAAUAUAACCAAGCCUUCAAACCUACAUAGAAUCCUUGAUAAGAAUUUAGUAUUCAAAAUUCUAUUACUUCCUUUUACUAUUGCUAUGGUCAACUCAUGAGACAUUAGCAGUUUGCCUGGAAUAAGACAAAGUACAAGUUAUAAAUUAAUAAAGAAAGCAUAUGUAGUAAUAGAGGCAUUGGUGAUAUCUGAUCAUGAGUAACUCCUAAUUAUGUUAUUGAUAUAGUAAUAAUUUAUAUAAUUAAUUACAAUAAUUUAUUGCUGUAUUAAUGAGAUAGUAAAAUAAAAUAUUUAUUCACCUUUCACCCUGUUUCAAAAUAAGAAUUUAAAGCAAUAUGUGAAGAGCCAUACAACAAAAUACAGAAGAACUUUUAAAAGUUGAAUGAAUUGAGGCAAAGAAAAAAAUAAGAUAUAGAAAAAAUCAUUAAAUCUGUAGGGAAAUUUGGUACACAAAAUGCAAGAUAAAUUUGCUACCCUGGUAGAGAUGCAUCAC